GACAGAGGUGCCGAGCGUUAGGCGGAAUCACUGGGCUUAAAGCGUGUGUAGGCGGAUCGUUAAGUGCCUUGUGAAAUCCCACGGCUCAACCGUGGAACUGCUCGGCAUACUGGCGAUCUUGAGCCACUUAGGGGCUACCGGAACAAAUGGUGGAGCGGUGAAAUGCGUAGAUAUCGCUUGGAACGCCGAAGGUGAAGACAGGCUGCUGGGGUUGUGCCGACGCUGAGACACGAAAGCCAGGGGAGCAAACGGG
rnacentral:rRNA from 1 species